GGAAGAAAGAUUACUCGACUCCAGCAAAAGCCGGACAGAACAGUUGCAUAGAUUUUACCAAAGUAGCCUAAAAGGCCAAAGGAGCAAGACUACAGUGUGUUCCCUACAGUCUGUUCUACUAAUAUCAAGAUUGGUGAAGAUUGAAGGUUACUAUUUGGCCUCUUCCACUUCAAGGGAGAAUUUUGACCUUUCACCUUCAUACCAAUUGUACAAGAGCUGUCCACAGGAUGCCUUUGUUUGGCAGCUCAAAGAGGAGUCCAGCUGAACUGGUGAAGGCUCUGAGAGACAGUACUGCAGUCUUGGAGAAAGAUGAAUCAAGCAAAAAAACAGAAAAAGCCCUAGAUGACAUAGCCAAGACACUGGUUGGUAUGAAGAAUAUUCUAUAUGGUGUUGGUGACCAAGAGCCCCAGACAGAGCUAGUGGCUCAACUUGCUCAGGAGAUAUACAAUUAUGACAUGCUUGUCGUAUUUGUAGUGUAUUUGAACAGGCUCGAUUUUGAGGCCAAGAAGGAUGUUGUUCAGAUUUUCAACAACAUGCUUAGAAGACAAAUAGGAACACGCUCACCAACUGUGGAGUAUAUUUGUUCCAAAGAAGAGUUGCUGUUCAUUUUAGUCAAGGGGUAUCAGAAUCCAGAGAUUGCGUUAAACUGCGGUAUGAUGCUCCGAGAAUGCGUUAGGCACGAGACACUAGCUAAGACUAUUCUCUAUUCGGAAAGAUUUUAUGACUUCUUUCAAUACGUUGAAAUGUCAACGUUUGACAUAGCCUCUGACGCUUUUGCAACAUUCAAGGAUCUUUUGACAAAGCAUAAGCUUUUGGCUGCGGAAUUUCUUGAACUAAAUUAUAACAAAGUGUUUGAACAUUAUCAAAAGCUUCUGGAUUCUGAUAACUAUGUUACGAGAAGGCAGUCUUUGAAGCUUCUCGGAGAAUUACUCCUGGAUAGGCACAACUACACAACAAUGACGAAGUACAUCAGCAAUCCAGAUAACCUCAAGUUAAUGAUGAACCUCCUUCGAGAUAAGAGCCGGAACAUUCAAUUCGAGGCCUUUCAUGUCUUCAAGGUCUUUGUAGCGAAUCCUACAAAAGGAAAACCUGUAUUGGAUAUCUUAGUAAAGAACAAGGAGAAACUUAUCGAUUAUCUGAAGGCAUUUCACAUCGAGAGGACAGAAGACGAACAGUUCAACGACGAGAAAAUGUACUUGGUGAAGCAAAUCAGAGAACUUGGCGACAAAACCGAUUGACAGAAUGUCGCCCUCGUGUUCUUACGAACAGCAUAGGUAGUUUGAAAACGCCGGAAUAUUUAUAUAUUGGAUUUUAGAUGGCUUUCUUAAAUUUGUCAAUAUGUUGAAAACAAUUUUAAUAUGAAAUUAGGGCCUAUAUUAUUAUGAAAAUAAUAAUAUAGGCCUAAAGAUUUACUCUCUGCCAGUAAUCGGGAAAAACAUCGAAAUUCAAUUAAAAAUUGUAACAGCUCAUUUAAAAGGAUCACGCUAGCUAUAACUUUCAACCAGAUACUGAUGCAUAGUUACCAACCUGAGAGAUUUGAAAUGCAUGACUACACCAGCUGACUGGGGGUGGGGCGAAGCCCUGGCGCUGCAGUGAUCUAAGCAUUUUAAGCUGUUUUAAAACGAUUUCAGGGAGUGUUUGUUGACAAUACCGGGUACAAAAAUAAACAAAUAAUACUUUUAAUAAAGCACGUACAAUUUGAGUUUAUAUAUAGCAAUAAUAAAGGCGCCGCUCUGGUUCGUGUGUUUCCUGUAAUUUCUCCACUUAGUAAUUAUGUUCAAAUUUUGAGGUGGGGUGCUUGUCAAAUGCUUGAGUGACGGUUACUCAAUUUAUAGGCCUACUUUGUUUUCUUUAGUGCAUUGUAUUCUGUUUGAAGUAUUAAUAUUGGACGCACCUUUAUCAUCUGAAGUGUGCCACUGUUUCAAAAGUGUAGUUUCCGAAUAAUAAUAUACCCCAUUCGCGGGAGGUUCUUUGGUUUCAGUCACAUACUGUAAUCAACGGAUGGUUGUGACAAUGAACGCGCAAGACCACACGCGCUGCGGCUCCUAGGCUCUCGAUGAAUUUAUUUUUGAACAAGAUUAUGAAAGCUCUCUAAUGACUCAAAACUGCAUGACCGUUUUUAUGUUUUAAAAAAAACAGUUUCUUCUAAUUUUGAAUAGGCCUACAUUUUUUUGGUGAUAAUUCGUUAUCAUGCAUAGACUUAUGCAUGCUAAAUGCGAGACAAAUUUAUGAUGGGAGACGGUUGGUAACUAUGCUCAGUUAUGCUGAUGUAAAAAAAAAAGAUAGGCUCCCAGCGGAGCGUGUGUGUCUGCUGCUUGACAUAGUUUUUUUUUCUUUUUUGGCUACUCUACUUUAAAAUCAUAAUCCAUUCACGCUUUUUGUAUUGACUUUUAGUUCUUUUUAUGACAGGUCAUAUCUUUCUAUGGUAUGGCAUCCCAUCAUUCUUCAAACCGGGUUCACUGUCACAAUUAGGACAGUAGACAUAAAAAUCUUUAAAUUAAUUUACCAGCCAAUUAAGGCUAUGCAAAAAUAUACAGUAAAAAAUAUUAUUUAAUUGCCCAUUAAUUAUGUUUAAGAAGUUAAAUGACUAAAUUAAAUUUACAAAAAUGAAUAGGCAAUUAAAAAUGAAAUGAAAUUUGUCAUUUUUUAUUUUGGAUCAUGACAUACAAUACAUCUCUAAGUAUGCUGAAAAAAGACUAUGAUACACUUUUCGUGUAUUUUUGAUGUACCGUAUCUUAAAGUAAGUAAAGUUGAGAAUGAUUAAAAUUUAAGUAGUCACUUUUAUUUAUUAGGUAUUUAUAAUAAGCUGUACAUUUGAAAAGACUGGUGUAAACAUAAAGUAAAUACUGUACAACGUUUUAUCGAUUAUGACUUGCGACUGGAAGAAAUUAUAGAAAAUAGUCUAAUCAACUAUGUAUUACACAAUUUGUUAUCUUCAACGAAAUUUAACCCUCAUUGUUUGGACCAAUGUAAUCUAGACGCUCUCUAUGAGUUGAUAAACACCCACUAGGCCUAUAUUAUAACUACCAAACAUCUGAAUUAAAAAAAAAAAGUUUUUUCAUUAAUAAAUAUACAGGUAUUGACAGUUACCGUACUUGUUAAUAAAA
rnacentral:misc_RNA from 1 species